rnacentral:tRNA from 210 species
GGCCCCUUAGCUCAGUUGGUUAGAGCACGCGACUCAUAAUCGCUUGGUCACUGGUUCAAGUCCAGUAGGGGCCACCA